AAAGCACCAAUUAUCACUUACCCUCCCGCC
rnacentral:piRNA from 1 species